UUUUUUUAAAAAUUCUAUUUUAUUUCAAGUUUUCAUGAAUGUUAAUUAUUUUAAUUUUUUUUUAUAAGUUAUUAUUCAUACAUUGAUGAUUUCAAAUGAUGCCAUUCUUUUUAUUUUGUUUGAUGUUUCUUUAAUUAACUUUUAAUUUAUUUAGUUUCCUAAUAUUGAUGUUGGUAUUUGCAUAACAUGUGAUAUGAAAU
rnacentral:lncRNA from 1 species